rnacentral:rRNA from 1 species
AGCGGCGGACGGGUGAGUAAUGCCUGGGAAUAUGCCCUGAUGUGGGGGAUAACUAUUGGAAACGAUAGCUAAUACCGCAUAAUCUCUUCGGAGCAAAGAGGGGGACCUUCGGGCCUCUCGCGUCAGGAUUAGCCCAGGUGGGAUUAGCUUGUUAGUGAGGUAAUGGCUCACCAAGGCAACGAUCCCUAGCUGGUCUGAGAGGAUGAUCAGCCACACUGGAACUGAGACACGGUCCAGACUCCUACGGGAGGCAGCAGUGGGGAAUAUUGCGCAAUGGGGGAAACCCUGAUGCAGCCAUGCCGCGUGUGUGAAGAAGGCCUUCGGGUUGUAAAGCACUUUCAGUAGGGAGGAAGGUAGUGUAGUUAACACCUGCAUUAUUUGACGUUACCUACAGAAGAAGCACCGGCUAACUCCGUGCCAGCAGCCGCGGUAAUACGGAGGGUGCGAGCGUUAAUCGGAAUUACUGGGCGUAAAGCGCAUGCAGGCGGCCUGUUAAGUCAGAUGUGAAAGCCCGGGGCUUAACCUCGGAAUUGCAUUUGAAACUGGCAGG